rnacentral:rRNA from 1 species
GAUGAACGCUGGCGGCGUGCCUAAUACAUGCAAGUCGAGCGAACAGACGAGGAGCUUGCUCCUCUGACGUUAGCGGCGGACGGGUGAGUAACACGUGGAUAACCUACCUAUAAGACUGGGAUAACUUCGGGAAACCGGAGCUAAUACCGGAGAACAUGUUGAACCGCAUGGUUCAACAGUGAAAGACGGUCUUGCUGUCACUUAUAGAUGGAUCCGCGCCGCAUUAGCUAGUUGGUAAGGUAACGGCUUACCAAGGCAACGAUGCGUAGCCGACCUGUGAGGGUGAUAGCCCACCCUGGAGCUGAGACACGGUCCAGACUCCUACGGGAGGCACCAGUAGGGAAUGUUCCGCAAUGGGCGAAAGCCUUACGGAGCAGCGCCGCGUGAGUGAUGACGGUCUUCGGAUCGUAAAACUCUGUUAUUAGGGAAGAACAAAUGUGUAAGUAACUAUGCACGUCUUGACGGUACCUAAUCAGAAAGCCACGGCUAACUACGUG